rnacentral:rRNA from 1 species
UACAGAGGUGGCAAGCGUUGUUCGGAAUUACUGGGCGUAAAGGGCGCGUAGGCGGUCUUAUAAGUCUCGUGUGAAAUCCCUCGGCUUAACUGAGGAACUGCACGGGAUACUGCAAGACUUGAGAUCGGGAGAGGGAGGCGGAAUUCCGGGUGUAGCGGUGAAAUGCGUAGAUAUCCGGAGGAACACCGGUGGCGAAGGCGGCUUCCUGGACCGACACUGACGCUGAGGCGCGAAAGCUAGGGGAGCAAACGGG